rnacentral:lncRNA from 1 species
GAAAAAUGCCACCUGAAGACAAGAGGGUCUCACUCUGUCACCUAGGCUGGAGUUCAGAGGCAUGAUCUCGGCUCACUGCAACCUCUGCCUCCCAGGCUCAAGUGCUCCUCCCACCUCAGCCUCAGAAGUAGUUGGAAAUACAAGUGUGUGCCACAGACACCCAGCUAAUUGUCAUCUACCCGCCUCAGCUUCCCAAACUGUUUGGAUUACAGGUAUGAGCCACUACACCCAGCUAAUUGUCAUCUACCCGCCUCAGCUUCCCAAACUGUUUGGAUUACAGGUAUGAGCCACUGUGCCCAGCAGAAAUUACAUUUACAAAUUAAUAUGAAGACAUGGUGAUAACUAACAUAUUUAUAACAUGAAAUCUGCUCAUCCAGGAACAUAGAAUGCAAAUCUUUCAUUCCACUCAGCAAAAUUUUGUCCUGUCCUUGAUAAAAGUCCUGCACAUCUAAGUUUAUUCCUAGGUAUUUAAUUUUUGCUGAAAUACCUGAAAAAAUACUUCAUCACUAUAUCUUCUACGUGAUUAUAGCUAACACUGGGGAAGGCUAUUGAUUUUUAUAUAAAAGAACUUUUAACCACUAAUCUUAAAAAU